rnacentral:rRNA from 1 species
UGUUGGCGGGGUAACGGCCCACCAAGGCUUCGAUGGGUAGGGGUACUGAGAGGUAGGUCCCCCACAUUGGAACUGAGACACGGUCCAAACUCCUACGGGAGGCAGCAGUGAGGAAUAUUGGUCAAUGGGCGCGAGCCUGAACCAGCCACGUAGCGUGAAGGAUGACUGUCCUAUGGAUUGUAAACUUCUUUUUCGGGAGGGUAAAGUGAGGUACGUGUACCUUAUUGCAAGUAUCCCGUGAAUAAGCAUCGGCUAACUCCGUGCCAGCAGCCGCGGUAAUACGGAGGAUGCGAGCGUUAUCCGGAUUUAUUGGGUUUAAAGGGAGCGUAGGCGGACGAUUAAGUCAGUGGUUAAAUUGUGUGGCUCAACCAUGCCCUGCCAUUGAUACUGGUUGUCUUGAGUGUACAAGAGGUGGAUGGAAUUCAAGGUGUAGCGGUGAAAUGCUUAGAUAUCUUGAGGAACUCCUAUUGCGAAGGCAUUCCACUGGGGUACGACUGACGCUGAUGCUCGAAAGUGCGGGGAUCAAACAGGAUUAGAUACCCUGGUAGUCCGCACAGUAAACGAUGAAUACUCGCUGCCGGCGACACACUGUCG